GUGCUGGUCUCUGCCCUUCCCCACUCUCCCUAAAAUCUCAAAGAUACAAAAUAAAAUAUAUGGAUUGUCUAUUUCACUAUAAAAUGCAAGUGGGUCAAGCAAGCCUAGAUUCGACUUCAGCUUCCCAAACACGAAGAUCCAUGGAUUGAACAUGCAUGGGUCCCAAACUACAACCCAACUAUCAUCAAUGGGGUCAAUAUCAGAUCUCAUAAUAUUAGACUCAAUAGUCUAGUGCCUUAACCU
rnacentral:lncRNA from 1 species